ACAGGGAGACAGGUGGUGCAUGGUUGUCGUCAGCUCGUGUCGUGAGAUGUUGGGUUAAGUCCCGCAACGAGCGCAACCCCUACGUUUAGUUGCUAACAGGUGAAGCUGAGCACUCUAGACGAACUGCCGUUGACAAAACGGAGGAAGGUGGGAUGACGUCAAAUCAUCAUGCCCCUUAUGUUCUGGGCUACACACGUGCUACAAUGGCCGGUACAGACGGAGGCGAAGCCGCGAGGCGGAGCAAAUCCGAAAAAGCCGGUCUCAGUUCGGAUUGCAGGCUGCAACUCGCCUGCAUGAAGUCGGAAUCGCUAGUAAUCGCAGGUCAGCAUACUGCGGUGAAUACGUUCUCGGGCCUU
rnacentral:rRNA from 1 species